UACAGAGGUCUCAAGCGUUGUUCGGAUUCACUGGGCGUAAAGGGUGCGUAGGUGGCCAGGGAAGUUUGAUGUGAAAGCUCGGAGCUUAACUCCGAAAUGGCAUUGAAUACUAUCUGGCUUGAGGGUCGGAGGGGAGACUGGAAUUCUCGGUGUAGCAGUGAAAUGCGUAGAUAUCGAGAGGAACACCAGUGGCGAAGGCGAGUCUCUGGACGACACCUGACACUGAGGCACGAAAGCUAGGGGAGCAAACAGG
rnacentral:rRNA from 1 species